rnacentral:rRNA from 14 species
UGAAGGUGUCUUGUAAAGGAUGCUGGAGGUAUCAGAAGUGCGAAUGCUGACAUGAGUAGCGUUAAAGGGGGUGAAAAGCCCCCUCGCCGUAAGCGCAAGGUUUCCUACGCAACGUUCAUCGGCGUAGGGUGAGUCGGCCCCUAAGGCGAGGCAGAGAUGCGUAGCUGAUGGGAAACAGGUCAAUAUUCCUGUACCGAUUACAAGUGCGAUGUGGGGACGGA